rnacentral:rRNA from 1 species
CUACGGGUGGCUGCAGUGAGGAGUAUUGCACAAUGGGGGGAACCCUGAUGCAGCAACGCCGCGUGGAGGAUGACGCAUUUCGGUGUGUAAACUCCUUUUAUAUGUCAAGAAAAUGACGGUAGCAUAUGAAUAAGCACCGGCUAACUCCGUGCCAGCAGCCGCGGUAAUACGGAGGGUGCAAGCGUUACUCGGAAUCACUGGGCGUAAAGGACGCGUAGGCGGGUUGGAAAGUCGGGUGUGAAAUCCUACAGCUUAACUGUAGAACUGCACUUGAAACUUCUAAUCUAGAGUAUGGGAGGGGGAGAUGGAAUUAGUGGUGUAGGGGUAAAAUCCGUAGAUAUCACUAGGAAUACCUAAAGCGAAGGCGAUCUCCUGGAACAUUACUGACGCUAAGGCGUGAAAGCGUGGGGAGCAAACAGGAUUAGAUACCCCAGUAGUC